rnacentral:rRNA from 1 species
GAUAAACGCUGGCGGCGUGCCUAACACAUGCAAGUCGAACGAUCCCGCAAGGGAGAGUGGCGGAAGGGUGAGUAACACGUGGGAAUCUACCUCCUCGCAGGGAACAACCUCUCGAAAGAGAGGCUAAUACCCAAAAGGGUCAGAAAUGAUCAGAGUCGAAAGGCGUGAGGAGAGGAGCCCGCGGCCCAUCAGCUAGUUGGUGAGGUAAUGGCUUACCAAGGCUACGACGGGUAGGGGAUCUGAGAGGAUGUCCCCCACACUGGAACUGAAACACGGUCCAGACGCCUACGGGUGGCAGCAGUGAGGAAUAUUGGACAAUGGGCGAAAGCCCGAUCCAGCAACGCCGCGUGGAGGAUGAAGGCCUUCGGGUCGUAAACUUCUUUAGAGGGAGACGGAG